rnacentral:tRNA from 1 species
CACUAGAAAGCUAAAUCGGACCUAGCGUUAGCCUUUUAAGCUAAAGACUGGUGACUCCCGACCACCUCUAAUGA